AGCGCAGGUGGUUUCUUAAGUCUGAUGUGAAAGCCCACGGCUCAACCGUGGAAGGUCAUUGGAAACUGGGGAACUUGAAUGCAGAAGAGGAGAGUGGAAUUCCAUGUGUAGCGGUGAAAUGCGUAGAUAUAUGGAGGAACACCAGUGGCGAAGGCGACUUUCUGGACUGUAACUGACACUGAGGCUCGAAAGCCAGGGGAGCGAACG
rnacentral:rRNA from 1 species